rnacentral:lncRNA from 1 species
CUUGAAACAUACUAUGUAGUUCAUAUUACCUACCAAUGAGAUAAAAUGUAUAAUGAAUUAAAUGCUAAAAGAAUGCAUGAGAUGCUAAGUAUAGACUACUUUGGAUGAUGAUUAUAUGUAUGUUGACAUAUCAUGUGAUGCUAGUAAUAUAUGUGCAUGAUGACAUAUUGUGAAUUAACAUAUUGUGGAUUAUGUUAAAUAGAAACAUAUACAUGAUGACAUAUAUUGCAUAUGAUAGAAGAAUUAUGCAUGUUGCCAUAUUGUGGAACAUAGUAGAUGAAUUAUGCAUGUUGAACUUGGUCGAUUAGAGAAAUUGACUUUGGAAAACAAGAACAUAUUGAGUGGCAUUAAUGUAGUGUAUUUGACACUAGAGGUUUGAGAAUCUAGGGAUAGGUGAAUCCCUUAGAAAAUGCCUUGUGGAUAAAGAACUUAGUAAACCUAAGUACCCUCACAUGGAGAGGUUGUCGAUGAGUUAUU